UGGGGAAUAUUGCACAAUGGGCGCAAGCCUGAUGCAGCCAUGCCGCGUGUGUGAAGAAGGCCUUCGGGUUGUAAAGCACUUUCAGCGAGGAGGAAGGUGGUGAGCUUAAUACGCUCAUCAAUUGACGUUACUCGCAGAAGAAGCACCGGCUAACUCCGUGCCAGCAGCCGCGGUAAUACGGAGGGUGCAAGCGUUAAUCGGAAUUACUGGGCGUAAAGCGCACGCAGGCGGUUUGUUAAGUCAGAUGUGAAAUCCCCGGGCUCAACCUGGGAACUGCAUUUGAAACUGGCAAGCUAGAGUCUCGUAGAGGGGGGUAGAAUUCCAGGUGUAGCGGUGAAAUGCGUAGAGAUCUGGAGGAAUACCGGUGGCGAAGGCGGCCCCCUGGACGAAGACUGACGCUCAGGUGCGAAAGCGUGGGGCAGCAAACAGGAUUAGAUACCCUGGUAGUCCACGCUGUAAACGAUGUCGAUUUUGGAGGUUGUGCUCUUGAGGCGUGGCUUCCGGAGCUAACGCGUUAAAGUCGACCG
rnacentral:rRNA from 1 species